rnacentral:rRNA from 1 species
GAAACUACGCCUACAUGAAGCUGGAAUUGCUAGUAAUCACAGGUCAGCAUACUGUGGUGAAUACGUUCCCGGGCCUUGUACACACCGCCCGUCACACCAUGAGAGUUGAGAAUACCCGAAGCCCAUGUCAAAGUGGUCGAAGGUAGGCUUGAUGAUUGGGGUGAAGUCGUAACAAGGUAUC